GCCGCCCUCCUUAAACGCCCGCCGCAGCUGCCGAAUGCGAAUGGCCGUACCCCCUUCCACAGCAGCGCUGGGGUCUUGCUGCUGCGUUUGUGUCAAGAGGUAACGUUUCGGUCCGAGGAACUCCACCGCCGCCUGCUGCCCGUCACUCAGCCGCACCACCGCAUCCACUGGCGCCAACACUCCUGGCGCGACAACGCCCGUCUGAAGGGACUGAACGGCUAGGCCCCCUGCUGCCUUGAGGCCCUGCUGCUCAAGCCGCCGCAGCGCUGCAACGACCUGCUUUUGAGUAUCUGAUGUGGGCUUGGCGUCUUCCCUCUCAGUAGUCACCGCCGCUGCCAUCGCCGCCUGCAGUCCGCUGCCGCUGCCCAGGGCCGCCGCCACCUCGCCGCCUAGCUCCUGCUGCGCCUGCCACAGCUGUUUGAGAUGCUCAGUUGUAAGACCCUCCCAACGGCUUACUGCUUCACGGGCCAGCUGAAUGGAUAGCUGCUUCAUGUCGGGAGAAUACGUGCCUCCGAACACAGCCAUGGCCCACAGGCUGUUGCAUACGUGCUGGUGCAGGACUGUGUCAGAGUCAUGCUGCAGCAGCUCGCCCAGCCGACCGCACACCGCCGCCUCCAAGCCAGCGUGCCGCAGCUGCAGCACCGCCAGCGCGUACAGCGUAUUGGCACAGUUCUGACCACCGGCACUACUGGCGCGCAUGGCUGCUACUGCUGCGCCCGAGUCAAGCAGCUCCGCCGGCGGCUGGUGGCGCAUCAACGCAAGCGCGUACAGCAGAUUGGACCAGGCCUGAGAUGUUGCGCGGGCCAUGGCGCCCGACUGCGUUGCUGCGUCCACCGCUGCUGAAACCCACUGCCGCUGCUCGGCCGGCGCCUCCGGGCCCGCCCCAAAUCCCAUCUUGGCUAGGGCCCACGCUGAGUUGCUGAGGUCCUGAGCGAUGUACCCGUCAAACCCCCGCCGCAUGUCCUCUUCGGCCACUGCCACCACCAGCUCUGCCUGCUCGCUGCAUAGCUGCAGCCCCUCCAGCGCCAGCAGGAUGUUGGAUAGCUGUUGCGGGAUAAAUGCUGCAGCGAGCUCCGGUUUCCGGAGCUGCUGCAGUGCCUCCCCGCACAGCGCCUCAACUGCUGACCGGUACUCUGGUCCUGUGCACCCCAGAGCUUUGAGAGCCCAUAGGCUGUUUGAAACAUCUUGCGGCUUGAAGCCGUGGCCCGCCACCGUUCUCAAGCGAGAAGCCACAGCUGCCGCCAAGGUCUGCAAGUGCGGAGAUGAGGUGGGGUCCCAGCCUGAGCCCCGCUGCUGCUGGUCUUGCUUGAGCUUGCCGAGCGCGUACAUGACAAUUGCGAGGUUCUGAGGUUCCGCCUUCCCAAGAACCUCAGGAUCCACUAGCCGCUCCAGCAGAGCUGCUGCAAGCUGAGCCUCCGUGCCGCCGCCGACCAAUCCAGCUUUGCCCAGCGCCCACAGCGGAAUGCUGCAGUUCUUUGCGUUGCGGAUGCGCGGCACGAGCGGCAGGUAGGCCGGCGCAAGCAUGCCGAUAAUGCUGCUGCGUGCUACAGCCGUUUGGCUUGCUCCAGCGCGCGACUCCAGCUGCGUUCAAAGCAGUUAUGAGGGACAUACAUGGGGUCAAGUGCUAUAUGCAUGUGUUUGUGCGUGUGCGUGAACAGGUGCGCAUGCAAGUCCUGUGUGGCCAUCUGCGUCGUGAGAACCGGAAGUCCGGGCCGAGAACGACAACAAUGGACUCGCCCUCCAUUCUGCACUUCAUUUCUGUGCCCAUUCCCACCUGCACGUAUUAGUCCUCCCUCUCACCUUGCCGCACAGGUUGAACGCCGCACACAUGGUAAUGAAGUCUUUUCGGCCCUCCCACACUGAUAGCCGCUGGCUGAUGAUUGCUUGCAGCUCCUCCAGAGUCCGACACACGGUCAUGUCAUCCGCGGGGUCACGCCCGCUGCCCCUGCUUCUGCCGCUGGCGCGGCUGCCAUCGCCUGCCCUGCCUCCGCCGCUUCCCCUACCCGCCGCCGCCUGCACUAUUGGCCGCCCGAGGCGGGAGCUACUGCUGCCGCAGAGCACUACCGCCGUCGAGACGCGCAGUGGGGAUGAGCUGCUACUGUUGAGUGCUGGGACAGAAGUAGCGGCGGCAGCGCGCGGUGAGCUGGGGCCGGUGUCGGCAGCGGUCCGAUGCAUGCCAUAAACGAACAGUCUUCUAAACGCGCACGCCGGUGGCGGUGCCUGGAGACGGGCUGAUAACGAUUGGCUACAGCCAUGUACGCUGUGCCUGUGCGCACCAGCGGGAGAGCCCGCGACGACGCGCAGGGCGAGCAUCUCGGGCCUCCUCACGGCGGCGACCUGAGCUAUAGCGACUCUAUCCGUCUACGUGUCUGAGCACUGCAAAUGCAUUAGGCUUGCAUUUGUGGGAGAAUAACGCAAGGAACGAAAGGUCAGGUGCGUGUAGGUCGCUGGGCCAAAGCCGCCUGAGUAGCUGUGGCUUGGUAUGGAUGAUAAAGCAACUGAAUCAAUUUGCCACCGGUGUUGAGGCGAGGGCGACCUGACCGCGAAAUACACGGCCCGAGGGCACGCCCCGUAUCAACACCCCUCGCGACCUCCAAACACGUGCACUGAACCGCGAAGCCCUCCCCCAAGCCUAUCGCGGCUGCUAUUCCCAUGUCCUCCUCCCCAACCAUUCUGCAUACAGGCUCUGGCGUGAGUCCCUGCCCGCGUCAUUUGACACCCGUCGACCACGACUGAGGUGCAACGCAUGUCGCUUACAAAUCCAACAUCCCGCCCGACACGAGAGGGGCAGAAACGGCGGGGCAGACGGCCAGCCUCUUGAACAUGAGCAUAGCAGUGCAAUAUCGCACAUUGGGUCCCCGCCUGCUUCACCUGGCCACCUUUGCUGAUUUGUCUGACAUCCCUGUCUACACACUUUUAUCCGCCCACGCUUGAGACGUCCUCCUCAGCGCGCAGGCUUCACGGUACCAACCGUGCGGUAUCAUCGCUACAUGAUGAGUGCACUGCCCCAACCAUUGAAGCAUCACAAGGUGCUUGCCUGCCGCCGCCGCCGCUGAUACGUACACGAUUGCUGCCACACAACCAACACAUCACACCCAACAAUCACAACAACAAAACAACUGAGACCCGCCGCCGUGCAACGCACACUGUACACGCCCCAGGGCCGAGAACACAACGCAACACAAGCACCUGACAUGCCUCAUCCAGGCAUGCGUCACUCAAUCGCCCACCGAGCCGACCUCGCACACGCCGUUCGUGAGCCCCUGCGGCUGACAUGCCCGGCCCUGCCCCCUUGGCACCGCAGCCCUGCCGCCUUGGCACCGCCGCCCAUUGCCCCACCCCCAUGCUGCGUGCCAUGUAAGAAUAAAGCCAGGUCCCCAUCAAGCCGCAGCAUAUAUCCCCGCCAAGCCACCAGACUCCUCUUGCCGCACGCUACCAACCACCACCAGCACAGGACCGGCACCUGCCUGUCCCCCUGUUUAGUUUGGGCUGAUAUUUACAACCCCCCACCCUCCCCUCCCCACCUUCCCCAUUGCCAACCUCGCCCACCGCGCCGACAUGCACGCCGGCACCUCGCUCGUGCCUCUCGAGGCCUCCCAUCUUCCGUAGCUAGAGAUCCCUGUCCACGAGUAUCCACUUGGGCUCCAGCCCACUCCUGAUGCACACGCCGGCAUUACCCAGGUCUGCAUGGUUUGCAUGCCUGCCUGUCUACCGUGCACGCACACCUGCCUAGCUACGCAGACCUACUACCGUCCUUUUUGACCCGCCUCCGCCGCCACCGCCGCCGUCUCCUCCCUCUGGCCGCCGUGCCGGCCGCGCCAGCAGCUGCUGUUGUGGGUUGCCGCCAGAGCCGCCGCCGCCCUUGUUGCUGUUGGUGGUGGUGGUUGCGGGCUGGUGUGGCGCGGCCGUAGUGACAGCCGCAGCGCCGCCCACGGCACCCGCUGUCACUGUUUCCACCGCCACCGCCGGCUGCUGCAGCCGGCGCAGCAGGUAGGCCUCCUGCUCGGAAGGAGUCAGGAAGUCCCAUUCCCAGUACGGCACUAGUAGGACGCCGCCCUCCUUAAACGCCCGCCGCAGCUGCCGAAUGCGAAUGGCCGUACCCCCUUCCACAGCAGCGCUGGGGUCUUGCUGCUGCGUUUGUGUCAAGAGGUAACGUUUCGGUCCGAGGAACUCCACCGCCGCCUGCUGCCCGUCACUCAGCCGCACCACCGCAUCCACUGGCGCCAACACUCCUGGCGCGACAACGCCCGUCUGAAGGGACUGAACGGCUAGGCCCCCUGCUGCCUUGAGGCCCUGCUGCUCAAGCCGCCGCAGCGCUGCAACGACCUGCUUUUGAGUAUCUGAUGUGGGCUUGGCGUCUUCCCUCUCAGUAGUCACCGCCGCUGCCAUCGCCGCCUGCAGUCCGCUGCCGCUGCCCAGGGCCGCCGCCACCUCGCCGCCUAGCUCCUGCUGCGCCUGCCACAGCUGUUUGAGAUGCUCAGUUGUAAGACCCUCCCAACGGCUUACUGCUUCACGGGCCAGCUGAAUGGAUAGCUGCUUCAUGUCGGGAGAAUACGUGCCUCCGAACACAGCCAUGGCCCACAGGCUGUUGCAUACGUGCUGGUGCAGGACUGUGUCAGAGUCAUGCUGCAGCAGCUCGCCCAGCCGACCGCACACCGCCGCCUCCAAGCCAGCGUGCCGCAGCUGCAGCACCGCCAGCGCGUACAGCGUAUUGGCACAGUUCUGACCACCGGCACUACUGGCGCGCAUGGCUGCUACUGCUGCGCCCGAGUCAAGCAGCUCCGCCGGCGGCUGGUGGCGCAUCAACGCAAGCGCGUACAGCAGAUUGGACCAGGCCUGAGAUGUUGCGCGGGCCAUGGCGCCCGACUGCGUUGCUGCGUCCACCGCUGCUGAAACCCACUGCCGCUGCUCGGCCGGCGCCUCCGGGCCCGCCCCAAAUCCCAUCUUGGCUAGGGCCCACGCUGAGUUGCUGAGGUCCUGAGCGAUGUACCCGUCAAACCCCCGCCGCACGUCCUCUGCGGCCACUGCCACCACCAGCUCUGCCUGCUCGCUGCAUAGCUGCAGCCCCUCCAGCGCCAGCAGGAUGUUGGAUAGCUGUUGCGGGAUAAAUGCUGCAGCGAGCUCCGGUUUCCGGAGCCGCUGCAGUGCCUCCCCGCACAGCGCCUCAACUGCUGACCGGUACUCUGGUCCUGUGCACCCCAGAGCUUUGAGAGCCCAUAGGCUGUUUGAAACAUCUUGCGGCUUGAAGCCGUGGCCCGCCACCGUUCUCAAGCGAGAAGCCACAGCUGCCGCCAAGGUCUGCAAGUGUGGCGAUGAGGUGGGGUCCCAGCCUGAGCCCCGCUGCUGCUGGUCUUGCUUGAGCUUGCCGAGCGCGUACAUGACAAUUGCGAGGUUCUGAGGUUCCGCCUUCCCAAGAACCUCAGGAUCCACUAGCCGCUCCAGCAGAGCUGCUGCAAGCUGAGCCUCCGUGCCGCCGCCGACCAAUCCAGCUUUGCCCAGCGCCCACAGCGGAAUGCUGCAGUUCUUUGCGUUGCGGAUGCGCGGCACGAGCGGCAGGUAGGCCGGCGCAAGCAUGCCGAUAAUGCUGCUGCGUGCUACAGCCGUUUGGCUUGCUCCAGCGCGCGACUCCAGCUGCGUUCAAAGCAGUUAUGAGGGACAUACAUGGGGUCAAGUGCUAUAUGCAUGUGUUUGUGCGUGUGCGUGAACAGGUGCGCAUGCAAGUCCUGUGUGGCCAUCUGCGUCGUGAGAACCGGAAGUCCGGGCCGAGAACGACAACAAUGGACUCGCCCUCCAUUCUGCACUUCAUUUCUGUGCCCAUUCCCACCUGCACGUAUUAGUCCUCCCUCUCACCUUGCCGCACAGGUUGAACGCCGCACACAUGGUAAUGAAGUCUUUUCGGCCCUCCCACACUGAUAGCCGCUGGCUGAUGAUUGCUUGCAGCUCCUCCAGAGUCCGACACACGGUCAUGUCAUCCGCGGGGUCACGCCCGCUGCCCCUGCUUCUGCCGCUGGCGCGGCUGCCAUCGCCUGCCCUGCCUCCGCCGCUUCCCCUACCCNNNNNNNNNNNNNNNNNNNNNNNNNNNNNNNNNNNNNNNNNNNNNNNNNNNNNNNNNNNNNNNNNNNNNNNNNNNNNNNNNNNNNNNNNNNNNNNNNNNNGAGAAUAACGCAAGGAACGAAAGGUCAGGUGCGUGUAGGUCGCUGGGCCAAAGCCGCCUGAGUAGCUGUGGCUUGGUAUGGAUGAUAAAGCAACUGAAUCAAUUUGCCACCGGUGUUGAGGCGAGGGCGACCUGACCGCGAAAUACACGGCCCGAGGGCACGCCCCGUAUCAACACCCCUCGCGACCUCCAAACACGUGCACUGAACCGCGAAGCCCUCCCCCAAGCCUAUCGCGGCUGCUAUUCCCAUGUCCUCCUCCCCAACCAUUCUGCAUACAGGCUCUGGCGUGAGUCCCUGCCCGCGUCAUUUGACACCCGUCGACCACGACUGAGGUGCAACGCAUGUCGCUUACAAAUCCAACAUCCCGCCCGACACGAGAGGGGCAGAAACGGCGGGGCAGACGGCCAGCCUCUUGAACAUGAGCAUAGCAGUGCAAUAUCGCACAUUGGGUCCCCGCCUGCUUCACCUGGCCACCUUUGCUGAUUUGUCUGACAUCCCUGUCUACACACUUUUAUCCGCCCACGCUUGAGACGUCCUCCUCAGCGCGCAGGCUUCACGGUACCAACCGUGCGGUAUCAUCGCUACAUGAUGAGUGCACUGCCCCAACCAUUGAAGCAUCACAAGGUGCUUGCCUGCCGCCGCCGCCGCUGAUACGUACACGAUUGCUGCCACACAACCAACACAUCACACCCAACAAUCACAACAACAAAACAACUGAGACCCGCCGCCGUGCAACGCACACUGUACACGCCCCAGGGCCGAGAACACAACGCAACACAAGCACCUGACAUGCCUCAUCCAGGCAUGCGUCACUCAAUCGCCCACCGAGCCGACCUCGCACACGCCGUUCGUGAGCCCCUGCGGCUGACAUGCCCGGCCCUGCCCCCUUGGCACCGCAGCCCUGCCGCCUUGGCACCGCCGCCCAUUGCCCCACCCCCAUGCUGCGUGCCAUGUAAGAAUAAAGCCAGGUCCCCAUCAAGCCGCAGCAUAUAUCCCCGCCAAGCCACCAGACUCCUCUUGCCGCACGCUACCAACCACCACCAGCACAGGACCGGCACCUGCCUGUCCCCCUGUUUAGUUUGGGCUGAUAUUUACAACCCCCCACCCUCCCCUCCCCACCUUCCCCAUUGCCAACCUCGCCCACCGCGCCGACAUGCACGCCGGCACCUCGCUCGUGCCUCUCGAGGCCUCCCAUCUUCCGUAGCUAGAGAUCCCUGUCCACGAGUAUCCACUUGGGCUCCAGCCCACUCCUGAUGCACACGCCGGCAUUACCCAGGUCUGCAUGGUUUGCAUGCCUGCCUGUCUACCGUGCACGCACACCUGCCUAGCUACGCAGACCUACUACCGUCCUUUUUGACCCGCCUCCGCCGCCACCGCCGCCGUCUCCUCCCUCUGGCCGCCGUGCCGGCCGCGCCAGCAGCUGCUGUUGUGGGUUGCCGCCAGAGCCGCCGCCGCCCUUGUUGCUGUUGGUGGUGGUGGUUGCGGGCUGGUGUGGCGCGGCCGUAGUGACAGCCGCAGCGCCGCCCACGGCACCCGCUGUCACUGUUUCCACCGCCACCGCCGGCUGCUGCAGCCGGCGCAGCAGGUAGGCCUCCUGCUCGGAAGGAGUCAGGAAGUCCCAUUCCCAGUACGGCACUAGUAGGACGCCGCCCUCCUUAAACGCCCGCCGCAGCUGCCGAAUGCGAAUGGCCGUACCCCCUUCCACAGCAGCGCUGGGGUCUUGCUGCUGCGUUUGUGUCAAGAGGUAACGUUUCGGUCCGAGGAACUCCACCGCCGCCUGCUGCCCGUCACUCAGCCGCACCACCGCAUCCACUGGCGCCAACACUCCUGGCGCGACAACGCCC
rnacentral:lncRNA from 1 species